AAACAUUCAAAAGUCAUUUAAAACGUAAAUAUUUAAACAAGUAGUGUAGUCUGUCUGAACAUUGUACACAAAUAGACAUUAAACAAAAUAUAUCAAUAUGCUCCUCUAACUGUUGCAUGUCAAAACAUGCUGGAUUGAACUGGAAAAACGAUAUGGUUAAAGAACAAUGGGACAGCUUUAGUGGGUGUAUGUCUGUAGCCUAAGAAUCUGAUGGUUUGGUACAGUACAUCUGUAAUUGUUGCCAUGUACUAAUGCUCACCACAUUAUUGUAACCAAAUAACUGCAUCUUAUAUCAGUGCCUGUUUGGUUUUUUUAAAUUGGUUUUUUACAUUUAAAAAAAAAAAGUCCCUCUAAUGCAAGUUGUAACCAGACUGUCCAAGUGUGUGUUUAUAAAAGUUUGUAAUGAGCGAGUGAAUGACUGAGAAAGUGACUGAGUGAAUGACAAUCACUACGAGUAACAGCUAAAUAGUUUUGUUUUGGAUAUAAAUAGCUUGACUCAACCAGUGAAUACUGAACUGUGUUACUAUUGAACAUACUGUAUGUUUGUAUGCUAAGUCCUUCAUAUAUUUUAAGUUAACAUCUUUUAUCAUUUUUCUUUCCUCUUAGGCUCAAGUUUAAUUUUAUUAGCUUAAAUACCCGAGGGUUCCCCCGGCGCUACCGCUCCAGUAACUGGUUACCUCAUCUGGAGUGGAGACUGGCCUUUAACUGGAAACUUUUUUAUUGGACUAAAUCACCUCACUCACUGGGAAGCAGCUAUUGUAUUGGAUCAAAUUGACUGAGUGACAUUGCCUCUUGUACAACAAUCAGAGGUAUGUUUGAAAUUUGAUUUUCUCUGCAUCAGGAGUAGUAUAUCUGUAUUGAAUUAUUCAAGAAUAUGUAGACUUGGUGCUUUUUAUGUACUGAGCUAUUAGAAUCAUUAUGGUUCACAUGUGGUAUGUGUUGUCAGGAUGGCCGAGUGGUCUAAGGCGCCAGACUCAAGGCUCCUCUCCUUCCUAAGCAAAGGGACUUCUGGUCUCCUAAUGGAGGCGUGGGUUCAAAUCCCACUCCUGACACAGAUUUCAUGCCUUUAGCUUUACAAGAUAGAAAGCUGCCUUUCUUCAGCGGUGAAAAGCUUCUCCUUAUCCGUGUGUGACCAGAAGGAUAACUUUUUGGGAGAUAUAAUCAUUUAGUGUCUUAAACUCUUCUAUACUAUACAAAUUUGGGCUGUCCAGAAGAAGUUUGACAAUUAUGGGAGAAAGCUGCUGAAAUCCUACAUCGUUGAUCCAAAUUACUGCUUCUAGCUAAUCUAGCAGUCCACACUGACUGUGGUUGACUACAAGACAGUUGUCAGGAUGGCCGAGUGGUCUAAGGCGCCAGACUUAAGUCUCUAAAGCUUACUGAGUAUACUGAGCAAAAGGCUUCUGGUCUCCAAAUGGAGGCGUGGGUUCAAAUCCCACUUCUGACAAAGAUUUAAGGACUGAAGCUUGAUAAUACAGUAAUGGAAAGCUCUUUCUUACCAGAAGCUUCUUUAAUUGAACAGUCUGUUGCAUCGUGGAAUAAUAUUA